rnacentral:rRNA from 1 species
GGCGUGCUUAACACAUGCAAGUCGAACGAUGAACCGGUUUCGGCCGGGGAUUAGUGGCGAACGGGUGAGUAACACGUGGGCAAUCUGCCCUGCACUCUGGGACAAGCCCUGGAAACGGGGUCUAAUACCGGAUAUGACUGCCGACCGCAUGGUCUGGUGGUGGAAAGCUCCGGCGGUGCAGGAUGAGCCCGCGGCCUAUCAGCUUGUUGGUGGGGUGAUGGCCUACCAAGGCGACGACGGGUAGCCGGCCUGAGAGGGCGACCGGCCACACUGGGACUGAGACACGGCCCAGACUCCUACGGGAGGCAGCAGUGGGGAAUAUUGCACAAUGGGCGCAAGCCUGAUGCAGCGACGCCGCGUGAGGGAUGACGGCCUUCGGGUUGUAAACCUCUUUCAGCAGGGAAGAAGCGCAAGUGACGGUACCUGCAGAAGAAGCGCCGGCUAACUACGUGCCAGCAGCCGCGGUAAUACGUAGGGCGCAAGCGUUGUCCGGAAUUAUUGGGCGUAAAGAGCUCGUAGGCGGCUUGUCGCGUCGGAUGUGAAAGCCCGGGGCUUAACUCCGGGUCUGCAUUCGAUACGGGCAGGCUAGAGUUCGGUAGGGGAGAUCGGAAUUCCUGGUGUAGCGGUGAAAUGCGCAGAUAUCAGGAGGAACACCGGUGGCGAAGGCGGAUCUCUGGGCCGAUACUGACGCUGAGGAGCGAAAGCGUGGGGAGC